GUCAUGUACCAUGAAAAAGCAGAACAGGUUUGCCUAAGAGAUUUUGUACUACUUAAGCUAUUCAAGAAAGAGCAUCCUUCAAAUCUGACAGCCAUUCACCAUCAUGAAGCCCUGCCUUUUUCUCCUGAGUAUCACUGGUGCAGUGGUGCUGAAGGCUGAGAAGGUGCAGGAGACUGUAGCCAAAGGAGGUGGAAAGUGUGUAAAGCGGCAAGAAAGCAAGACACCAAGGCAGACAAAGGAGCAUUGGCUCAGCAGAAUUAGGAGUGUUGUCUUCUUCAACUUGCUGACUCUGGAAAGUAGCAGAGAGAGAGAAAGAUUACGCCUGGAACUCAGUCUCCUAUCUCCUGUUAGUACUGAGCCUGGUUUCCUCCAGGAAUUUUCUCCUGGAGGGUGAAGAGUUUCAGUGGCACUCCUGAAUGAUCAGUGAGUGGUGCGCUUUCAGCUUCUCAUUCCACAGUGGCAUAUUUCUUCUCAGCAGGUGUUAGUUUGCGUGAUAUGUAGAGGACUGCUCCUCUUUGAAGUUCUGGUACAGGACGGCCCCUAACUCUGUUUCAGAUGUGUUGCACCAGGUUUACUGUACUUCUUGAGGACAAUAGAGCAGUGACAGACUUCCCAUUCAUUUCUAUGGUCUUGUACCAGCUGUCAUUUCCAUCAUGCAAACUGUCCCUCACAAGUAUGAUCUAAUCAUGACACCAGUGACGUGGUCCACUGCACAAAACUACUGCAGAGAAAUGUACACUGACCUGGCAACAAUAGAAAGUGACAAUGACUGGGUAAGGCUAAAUAAAUUAUUAGUAAGCCAAGGUAUAACAGCACCUUUCUGGAUCGGACUCUACAACGACAUUAACAGUUGGCGUUGGUCCUUUAAUGAAGUUCCACUGCAGAAUACCAUUUUUAGGAUGUGGGGUGCUGGAAAUCCUGAUAAUAACCAUGGAAAUGAAUCAUGUGGUAUUAUAUGCUCUGCUGGGACCUGGUGGGAUGCUAACUGCUAUGAUUUGAGACCCUUUAUCUGCUACAAUGGUAAUAACAGUGGUGCUGACAGGUUUGUUGGGGUCACAAGUCCUAUGCUGUCCUAGACUGCAGCUCAGGCUUACUGCAGAAAAUUUCACACAGACUUGGCCACUGUGACCAGCAGCACAGAGAACAAUCUGUUAAGCCAGGUUGC